AUUUGCUCAUAAGAUCAGUGAUGUUUGUGAUUUUAAUUUAUUUUUCAAUCGGACAUCAUUGUAGUCAUGUUGUAAUGAGACUCGUUCAUUUUAGACCAAUUGUCCAAUCAGACAAUGAUGUCAUAUUUUAGUUUGUUUCAAUAAAUUUACGAUACGAAUUGAUCUAUCAGAUCUAGAAUUUCUCGUUCCAAUCUCGGAAGACUUUCCUUUGGAACUGAUUGAAGCCUUGUCCCCAAAUAUGACAAAAAAGGACCAUGUGGAGAUUUCUGUGCCUUGUCGCUAACCUUUUUGGUUAUGGCUGUCAAACAGUUUUCCAUUUUCUGUCGAAUCGCGUCCAUUCGGUUUUCGUUUGAAGAGGUUGAAACCGAUGUACUGGCAACUGAGACAAUGUUUGGAACGACAGUCGAUCGUCUUGUUGAUGGAUUUGAGCGGAUUGUAGUUGCGACGGAGGAUGUGGUAGGUUGAAGUGUUUGAUUGGUUCGUGAUGACUGUACUGAAGCUGUUGUGUUUUUUGGGGCCGCUGAAUGUGAAGAAUGUGAAGAUGUACCGACAUCGUUUAAUUGAUGGUUAUUUGACGGAAUCUAUCGAAAAAAAUGAAACGAGCUUAAGCUUCCACCGACUUUCAAUUAUCAGAAAAUCUAGAAAAAUAGACGUACUCUGGCUUGAUUAGCGAUCCGCGCAAUUAUAAUCUCACCAGUCUUUGGAUCAUAACAGCGAGAUGGAUACGGUGGGAUCGUAGUGUUGCUGAUCGACGAACUGGUGCUUGGAUGUGGUGACACAUAAUUAUCGAGGUCCAUAACAUUUGCAUCAUCGGGCUGUUGACCAUUUUCAACCUGCUGCUGUACAUCUCCAGUGGCUUUAUCAUUUUCAUUAUCCCGUGAUGUAACGCGCGGUUCGUUCAAUGAUUGAUAUUCAAUAGUUGACUGCUCAUGAGAAUAUUUGGAGACAAUCCGUUCGCGGCAGUUCCAAAUGUUUUCGUCUGGUUGAUGAUUAUCGGGAUCAGUUUGAAUAUCUCUUGGUAUGCCAAGCUGCACACAUGCAUUAACCACAGUGUCGGUAUCAUCGGUAG